rnacentral:rRNA from 1 species
UACGUAGGGUGCGAGCGUUGUCCGGAAUUACUGGGCGUAAAGAGCUCGUAGGUGGUUUGUCGCGUCGUCUGUGAAAUUCCGGGGCUUAACCUCGGGCGUGCAGGCGAUACGGGCAAUACUUGAGUGCUGUAGGGGAGACUGGAAUUCCUGGUGUAGCGGUGAAAUGCGCAGAUAUCAGGAGGAAGACCGAUGGCGAAGGCAGGUCUCUGGGCAGUAACUGACGCUGAGGAACGAAAGCAUGGGUAGCGAACAGGAUUAGAUA